GAGUGGUGCAGGGGAGCGUGUGGCAGAGGGACCCAAAAUAUCAGAACUAGUUUUCCCGCUAAUCCCUUUACAUAUUAUUCCCCACUUAAUCCUGAAAACAAACCCUAACCCUAACCCUUUCUGGUAGGAAUGACUACGCCCUGCACAGAGGGGGAGCCGGAGACAGGAGCCUCACGGCAAUUUACAGGAAAGUUGCGAAGAUAACACAGAGCGUUCCUGUAUACCCUUCACCCAGCUUCCUCUGAAGUGAACGUCUUACGUAACUAGUACAUUUGUCAAGAUGAAGAAGUUGACAUUGGUACCUGACUGUUCGCCACUCUCUAGGCUGCCUGGAUCUCACCAGUGUUUCCACCAAGGUUCCUUCUCUGUUCCUGGAUCCAAGCCGGGACCCCACACUGCAGUUCUUUGUCCUGCCUCCUUGGUCGGUGUGAUCUGUGUCCUCGACCCGGCCGGAGGUGGCCAGCGUUGAGCUGCUGGGCCCGGACGAGCAGCAGUGCUCCCAGGAGGCGGUGGUGCAGGCCCGCCCGUCCCAGCCCGCCGCCUGACGAGCAUCCUCUUCGCAGAGGCCAUCACCACCAGCCAGGUCAUGCGCUGUGACGCCAUCGUGACCUCAUCCACAGCAUUCAGAUCGUCUCCACCACCCGCGAACUCUGCCAGGAGGACUCUCCGCUGGAGGUAAAGGUCCGGGCUCUGGACUCUGAAGGUGGGAUGUCCACCUGGCGGUCUCUGUUUCUGUCUCCCCUCGUGUCCGGCCCUACUAUUCUCUACGGAGGGCUGCGUCCGCCAGGAAGGUGCAGUUGGUGCGGGGUGACAGGUGGACCAGGUCGAGACCCCCUCUGAGGUGGACCCCCGGCCCUUCGUGGCAGCAAGGCCGUGGCCAUUUCUCAUGUGCACUGGCCUCUGUGGCAGCCCCUGGAGGCCAGCUCCGUGCCUGUGCACAGGGCUCUGCGUGGUCAAGCACGUCUUUCGGAAGCCAACAUCUGGGUGUCUGGGCAGUGACAGGACGCUGGGAGGGGCUCAGUGGGUCACACGCUGUAACAGUGAGAGGCGAUUUCCUUGCUCGCCGUUGAGGGCUGGUGUUGGCUUCCGGAUCCCGACUGCAGAGUCGGGGGCGGGGGACAUGUCUGGGUCCCUUGCACCAUCCUCACUUCUCCACCAGAGUCGAAUGUCGGCUUGUUGAGGCUGGAAUUCUUAGAAGACCUGUUCUGGUGGUAGGCAGUAUCUUGGCUGUAGCCUGACCUCUUGGUAACGGAACAAAGGGAAAGUGUGUAGGGCAAGAAAGUAAGUCAGGCACAAGACGUCUUUCAGACGAAGGGUCUUCUAAAACUUCGAGUCCACACCUUGUCUUUGAAAUCUUCUCUGACCAUUCUAGGCCCUCCCCACUUUUUAAACAAAAUUUCUGGAUCAGGGUUUCUUAGCCUAGGUAGUAUUGACAUUUGGGGCCAGAUAAUUCUCUGUGGUAGAAGGCUGCCAGUACGGUACGGGAUGUUUAGCAGCAUCCCUGGCCUCUACCCACUAGAUGCCAGUGUAACUCCCCAAGUCGUGACAACCAAAAAUAUCUGCAGCCACUGGCACAUGCCCCUCGGGGGCAAAAUCACUGUUGUGGAGUGUCUGUCGGAUCCUUUCUUCCUCUCUCUAUUCAUUCAUCAGAGAAGCUGCCCGACCCUCGGAACCAUUUUCUGAUCUGUGAAAUUCAGACAGUGAUGCUUACCUGGGAGUUGUGAGGAUUUGGUGAUAAGUACGUAGAGGCUUUUUGUGGCACAUGGUGGGUGCACAGAAAGCCAGGUCGCCUUUGAGCUCUUUCUACCUCCUGUGCGUUCUGCCGGGUCCUGGGGGUGCUGCAGGGGAAGGAAGGGCCUGGCCUCUGCCCCCAGAAUCUCAGGCCGUGGGGGAGAUCCACUGCACAUGACUCAGUAGAUGCUGUUCAUAAUCAAAUGGGAUGCAAGUGUGAAGGGACCACAGAGUAGGGGGGAGACAGCCCCCGGGAAGGUUGGAGGUGGGAUGCGGAGGACAGAGGUCAGGACAGUUUCUCAGGAGACGUGAUGUUUGACUGAGCCUUGAGUCCUGUGGGGUUUGCCAGGCAGGGAAGGCGUUUCAUUCUCGAGGAGACUGAAGCUUGGAGAGGGGGUGGGAUGCGGGAUGUCAAGGGUCCUGCGUGUCCAAUGUGGGAUCUGCACUUGGUCUGAAAGCAGAGGCAGCUGAGGAAGGGGUUUGUGCACUGGGGUGAUGGGGGCUCCCCUGCAAGGACUCUGGGGGCAUCACUCGUUGUUCUUGGGAACAAGAGACCAAAGUCUGAGGCCACACUGGUGCCAGGCACUCCUUACGUGUUCUGACUAAUUUCAUGCCAGAUGAUGAGACUGAGGCACAGGGAGUAAGUACACACACACACACACACACACUCUCACACGUGCUCGUGUGGGAAGAGACGUGUAAUUAGUAUACAGCAGGGCUGGAACCCGAGCUCCAGCCUGGUCCCAGAGAUCCCCCUCUUGCCUAGGGGUGGGCGAACUUUUUCUGUGAAGGGUCAGAUAGUCAAUAUCCUGGGCUUUGCUGGCUCCACGGUCUCUGCUGCAUCUACCCAGCUCUGCCCUUGUCACUAUAAAGCAGAGGAAAUGAAUGCGAGUGGCUGUGUCCUAAUAAAACUUUAUUUACCAAAACAGGCGGUGGGCCAGAC